AGUAACAGUGCUGUGUAUGACUCAGCUGUGAAUGGAAUUUAUGCAGUCAACAUUAUAGAAUGUUAAAAUUGGUCCAACCAAAAUCACAAAAACAACAGUCUAGGCUUCCAUUCAGGAAACUCAUAAUAAGCAUGUUAUAGAGAGAGACUGUGGAACAUUCUGAAAGACUCAGCUAAAAGAGGAGCCCCGUUGUGACCAUGAGCAGCAGGAACACACACAGCAGGAAAUCAAUGGACAAUUUAAUGGGAACUUUUGGAACAGUAACCCAACUGAAAGUGGUUAACCCAAAGAUGAGAACCUCCUGUACUUCUCCUGAUAGAACCAACAGUCAACUUUGUGUGGCCAUUGGAAGUGCAUUGAUUAAGGGCUCGAAUUGGCCCAAGCUAAACCUGAGCUGAAGUUCUGCCUCUUACCAGCUAUAAAAACUAUCUGCACAAUGAGAGAACUAUUUAAAUACCAAGAGUUCUGACUGCUAUCAUGGGGAUAAUAAUACCGCUGAUUUCAUAAGAUUGUUGUGAGGAUAAAACAAGGAGAAAGACUUUUAAGCAUAGUGGAUGACACACAGAGAAAAUAUUUGCAAAUGACGUACCUGAUAAAGGGUUAGUGUCCAAAAUCUAUCAAGAACUUACCAAACUCAAUACCCAAGAAACAAAUACUCCAGUUAAGAAAUGAGC